rnacentral:lncRNA from 1 species
CGGCGUUGAUUGCAUCCCAGUCUUUCUCCCCAUCUCUAAGUGCUUCCCUCUGCACACCAGCUUCAGUGUCUCAGGCCAGUUUCCUCCAUAAGGCUGGGGUCACAUCUUUUCAGCUUUACCCCCAGAAAGGGAAAGGGUACCUUCCUUUAUUUCAUUUUGAAAAUACUCUCAAAGGGGCCCCCAGUUGACCUGGCUGGGUUGUGUGCCCACUCCUGUAAGCCAGACAGGUGGGACCACUGUGAUGGACCCGUUCUUUCAGAACUGCAUGGUUAGAGUUGUGGGAAGAACAGUUUCCCACAGACGGGGAGUCCUUAUAAGAAGAGGAGACAGAUGGAGAGCAGAUGAAGCAGGUGGCACAAAGCAGAGUGUCUUCCCUGCUUUGGGCUGAGGAGCUGACGCAGAGAGCUCGAGCACACUGUCUGAGGUUUGAUGACCUAGAAGCUGGGCAGGGAUGUGAACCCGGGCCGUCUGAUCCCACUGCUGUUGCUUUCUACCUACAUUCCAUUCUCAUAUGGUAGCAGGGAGAUGGAGUCUGCCUCUGAGCGUUCUCUGUGAUGGUCAUGCUGUGCUGGUUGGAGAGCCCUGGGCUGGGGACCAGGAGACAGAAAUGAGGACAUUGAAAUACUUCUUGGGACAGCUGCAUCUUGCAUGUUUAUCUAUUGUUUCCUGGGGGAGGAGACACGGGCUGCUGGAGCCAGGAAGGUUCAGAGAGCUCCAUCUAAUCCCAUAGGAGGCCAAGGAAGGGGGAGGAGUCACAUCGAAAGAGAACUCUUGGCAGAAGCUCUAGUGAACCCCGAGGUGCUGCUGCUACCAGUGCAAAUUACGGAGGAGGGAAACAGAGCAAAGGUUAAGGAGCUUAAGAGAGUGAGCCAAGCUGGAUUUCUCCCCUGCAGGCUGACUGCAGAACACGCGCUUUUAAACCACAAUGUUCUACUCCCGCUAUGGAGCAUUGGGGAGUUCGGGAAACUGCUGUUCUGAUUGGCUAUGAAAUCCAUGGAGAUGCUUAUAAGAUCAGAAUAUUAGAGCUGGAAUAAGCCUCAUGAGUCAUUCAGUCCACUCCCUUCAUCAUAACUGAUGAAGGGCAGGCCCAGCAAGGAUAACAGUCUGGCCAAGGUCAACAACUUAUGGCCCCACUAGACAAAAGGAAUUGAGCUUCCUGACAACAGCUGGAAGAGUGGGAGGCUCCUUGCCCUGGGGUCAAACUCCAGCCAUGUUGCCUUCCUCCCCACAGUACCUCUGAGCCUUGCUAGACCCUCCCCGACCCCAUCUGUAACCUACGAUGUUGCUCAUUCACUCCCACACCAAACAGCUCCAGAGUCAGACUGCCUCCCACGCUGAAGAAGAGAACUGACCCUCUCAGCUGCAUCUUCCCCAUCCACCCCCAUCUGUUGAUCCAACUUUAAAAAGAAGAAAAUGAAAAUCACAACUGAAAUGCUUUCAAAUGAUUUUUGAGAUCAAGUAACUUCCUCAAAACAAGAUUCCUC